rnacentral:rRNA from 1 species
GGCAGACGGGUGAGUAACGCGUGGGAAUCUACCCAUCUCUACGGAAUAACUCAGGGAAACUUGUGCUAAUACCGUAUACGCCCUUCGGGGGAAAGAUUUAUCGGAGAUGGAUGAGCCCGCGUUGGAUUAGCUAGUUGGUGGGGUAAAGGCCUACCAAGGCGACGAUCCAUAGCUGGUCUGAGAGGAUGAUCAGCCACAUUGGGACUGAGACACGGCCCAAACUCCUACGGGAGGCAGCAGUGGGGAAUAUUGGACAAUGGGCGCAAGCCUGAUCCAGCCAUGCCGCGUGAGUGAUGAAGGCCCUAGGGUUGUAAAGCUCUUUCACCGGUGAAGAUAAUGACGGUAACCGGAGAAGAAGCCCCGGCUAACUUCGUGCCAGCAGCCGCGGUAAUACGAAGGGGGCUAGCGUUGUUCGGAAUUACUGGGCGUAAAGCGCACGUAGGCGGGUAUUUAAGUCAGGGGUGAAAUCCCAGAGCUCAACUCUGGAACUGCCUUUGAUACUGGGUACCUAGAGUAUGGAAGAGGUGAGUGGAAUUCCGAGUGUAGAGGUGAAAUUCGUAGAUAUUCGGAGGAACACCAGUGGCGAAGGCGGCUCACUGGUCCAUUACUGACGCUGAGGUG